rnacentral:rRNA from 1 species
GACGAACGCUGGCGGCGUGCCUAACACAUGCAAGUCGAACGGAGAGGCUAAGAACAAGACUUCGGUCAAGUGAUUAGUUUUCUUAGUGGCGGACGGGUGAGUAACGCGUGAGCAAUCUGCCUUUCAGAGGGGGAUAACGUUCUGAAAAGAACGCUAAUACCGCAUAAUGUACCGGGAUGGCAUCUUCCUGGUACCAAAGGAGCAAUCCGCUGAAAGAUGAGCUCGCGUCUGAUUAGAUAGUUGGUGGGGUAACGGCCUACCAAGUCGACGAUCAGUAGCCGGACUGAGAGGUUGAACGGCCACAUUGGGACUGAGACACGGCCCAG